AGACGUGAGGGCGCCUGGGCCGCGACAUCGGCCACCCCGUGGAUCACCAAGGUUGACCCGGCCGAUCUGGCUGCGGAGGCAGGCGUCCCUUUCCUCCCUCACCAUUCCACGUGCGUCCCUCCUGAAGCUGCACAUGAAGAGUCCAAGGCACACGAGUGGCUGUGCCCCCUGUGGGGACCUCCAGACGAGCUCUAAGGUCUAUUUGCAGGAGCACGUGGGGCAGUGCAGUUCCAAGACUCGAAACACGCCCGAACAACAUGCUGCUGGCCGUCUGCCUUUCUUAAAGAAAAUGUAAAACAUUUUUUAAUGUUUGUUU
ensembl:misc_RNA 7SK 7SK RNA